rnacentral:rRNA from 1 species
GACGAACGCUGGCGGCGUGCUUAACACAUGUAAGUCGAACGCUGAACCCGCUUCGGUGGGGGAUGAGUGGCGAACGGGUGAGUAACACGUGGGCAACCUGCCCCCGGCUCUGGGAUAACUCCAAGAAAUUGGGGCUAAUACCGGAUGUGACCGCUGGCCGCAUGGUCUGGUGGUGGAAAGGGUUUCCGGCUGGGGAUGGGCCCGCGGCCUAUCAGCUUGUUGGUGGGGUAGUGGCCUACCAAGGCGACGACGGGUAGCCGGCCUGAGAGGGUGACCGGCCACACUGGGACUGAGACACGGCCCAGACUCCUACGGGAGGCAGCAGUGGGGAAUAUUGCGCAAUGGGCGGAAGCCUGACGCAGCGACGCCGCGUGGGGGAUGACGGCCUUCGGGUUGUAAACCUCUUUCAGCAGGGACGAAGCGCAAGUGACGGUACCUGCAGAAGAAGCACCGGCCAACUACGUG